UCGCAUUAUUAUUUAUUGAUCACUGGUUAACCAAUUUAAUUUGUGAUAACCACCAACACUUGUGACCACCACCUUACUGUUGCAUCCAACAGCAGCACCACCACCGUUACCACUUGAACCACCACCACAACCUCCUAAAAGUGAUUAGCAACCAGCAAAAUAGUACGAAUUGUACUACUAUGAAUGCGAAAAUUGUGAACGCAAGAUACCUCACCUCAACCUCCUCACCAUCACUACCCAAAAAAUAAAAAAAAUAAAAAAUAAAACCCCACUACCUACUAGAUCUAUGCAAAACCAACACCACCCACGACAAACCACCACUACUUCACAAUCAACCUGACAACAGCGACCGGCACCACCAUCACCAUAGCCUAACAGUAUCGCCACCACCUAAAAUCAAUCGCCCUCAUAUCUCAAAUCAGCAACCUAGUCAACCAAUUACACGUUACCAUUUCCACUAUGCCACUCCAUCCACAAAGCCACCCACCUACCAACUUAAAACCAAGAUCAACGAUGUUGAUUCGCACGGCCAAUAGAAACAUCCAACAUCCUGAUCAAUCAAUUGAAACAUCUAAAUUGGCCAAUCAAACCAACCACUACCACCCAUCCACACACAGAUAGCAGCGGUGUCCAUCAUCACCGGUGGUGUGGCGGUGGGCAUGGUGGUGGCGAAAAGAUGAGUUUAUGGCAAAGAAACCUCCCUCACGUUGGCCAUAGUCUCCACCGCCGCCUCUACCUCCAUAACCUCCCUCAAGACAUUCGUUACGGAAUCCAACGCCUACGGGAUUGAGCUUCAUUUACAAUGAUGUUACUGCCAUCAAAGUCCAGGCCCUUUUGAACUUCUAGAUCUGGUCGAUGAUGGUUCCCCGAUGGAGAGAUAAAAGAGAGGGACGAGAGAAAGAAAUGAAAGUUUUCGAUGGGUGGAGUAAUGGUGAGGUGGGGAUGGGGU
rnacentral:lncRNA from 1 species